rnacentral:rRNA from 1 species
AUUGAACGCUGGCGGCAGGCCUAACACAUGCAAGUCGAGCGAGCGGCGGACGGGUGAGUAAUGUCUGGGAAACUGCCUGAUGGAGGGGGAUAACUACUGGAAACGGUAGCUAAUACCGCAUACCAUCAGAUGUGCCCAGAUGGGAUUAGCUAGUAGGUGGGGUAACUGCUCACCUAGGCGACUAUCCCUAGCUGCUCUGAGAGGAUGACAAGCCACCUUGUAACGUGGCCACGGUCCAGACUCCUACGUGAGGCAGCAGUGGGGAAUAUUGCACGAUGGGCGCAAGCCUGAUGCAUCCAUGCCGCGUGUGUGAAGAAGGCCUUCGGGUUGUAAAGCACUUUCAUCGGGGAGGCGUUACCCGCAGAAGAAUCACCGGCUAACGCCGUGCCAGCAGCCGCGGUAAUAC